ACGAGUAGCUCAGUUGGUUAGAGCACCUGCCUUACAAGCAGGGGGUCGGCGGUUCGAGUCCGUUCUCGUCC
rnacentral:tRNA from 2 species